GUGGGGAAUUUUGGACAAUGGGGGCAACCCUGAUCCAGCCAUUCCGCGUGAGUGAAGAAGGCCUUCGGGUUGUAAAGCUCUUUUGUCCGGAGCGAAACGGGUAGCCCUAAUACGGCUGCCUACUGACGGUACCGGAAGAAUAAGCACCGGCUAACUACGUGCCAGCAGCCGCGGUAAUACGUAGGGUGCGAGCGUUAAUCGGAAUUACUGGGCGUAAAGCGUGCGCAGGCGGUUUUGUAAGCCAGAUGUGAAAUCCCCGGGCUCAACCUGGGAAUGGCAUUUGGGACUGCAAGGCUGGAGUGUGGCAGAGGGGACUAGAAUUCCUGGUGUAGCAGUGAAAUGCGUAGAUAUCAGGAGGAAUACCGAUGGCGAAGGCAGGUCCCUGGGCUAACACUGACGCUCAUGCACGAAAGCGUGGGGAGCAAACAGGAUUAGAAACCCCAGUAGUCC
rnacentral:rRNA from 1 species